rnacentral:rRNA from 1 species
GAUGAACGCUGGCGGCGUGCCUAAUACAUGCAAGUCGAGCGAACAGACGAGGAGCUUGCUCCUCUGACGUUAGCGGCGGACGGGUGAGUAACACGUGGAUAACCUACCUAUAAGACUGGGAUAACUUCGGGAAACCGGAGCUAAUACCGGAUAAUAUAUUGAACCGCAUGGUUCAAUAGUGAAAGACGGUUUUGCUGUCACUUAUAGAUGGAUCCGCGCCGCAUUAGCUAGUUGGUAAGGUAACGGCUUACCAAGGCGACGAUGCGUAGCCGACCUGAGAGGGUGAUCGGCCACACUGGAACUGAGACACGGUCCAGACACCUACGGGAGGCAGCAGUAGGGAAUCUUCCGCAAUGGGCGAAAGCCUGACGGAGCAACGCCGCGUGAGUGAUGAAGGUCUUCGGAUCGGAAAACUCUGUUAUUAGGGAAGAACAAAUGUGUAAGUAACUAUGCACGUCUUGACGGUACCUGAUCAGAAAGCCACGGCUAACUACGUG